UACGUAGGUGACCAGCGUUGUCCGGAUUUACUGGGCGUAAAGAGCGCGCAGGCGGUCGUUCAAGUCGAGGGUGAAAGCCCCCGGCUCAACUGGGGAGGGUCAUUCGAUACUGAUCGACUCGAAGGCAGGAGAGGGAAGUGGAAUUCCCGGUGUAGUGGUGAAAUGCGUAGAUAUCGGGAGGAACACCAGUGGCGAAGGCGACUUCCUGGCCUGUUCUUGACGCUGAGGCGCGAAAGCUAGGGGAGCAAACAGG
rnacentral:rRNA from 1 species